rnacentral:rRNA from 1 species
GGAACGAACGCUGGCGGCAGGCUUAACACAUGCAAGUCGAACGCGUGUAGCAAUACACGAGUGGCGCACGGGUGAGUAACGUGUGGAUAUCUGCCUUUUGGUUCGGAAUAACCCCGGGAAACUGGGGCUAAUACCGGAUGGUUCCUACGGGAUAAAGAUUUAUCGCCAAAAGAUGAGUCCGCGUCCGAUUAGCUAGUUGGUGGGGUAAUGGCCUACCAAGGCGACGAUCGGUAGCUGGUCUGAGAGGACGAUCAGCCACACUGGGACUGAGACACGGCCCAGACUCCUACGGGAGGCAGCAGUGGGGAAUAUUGGACAAUGGGGGCAACCCUGAUCCAGCCAUGCCGCGUGAGUGAUGAAGGCCUUCGGGUUGUAAAGCUCUUUUGGCGGGACGAUGAUGACGGUACCGCAGAAUAAGCCCCGGCUAACUUCGUGCCAGCAGCCGC